CAGUCGCCACGGUAAUACGAAGGGUGCAAGCGUUAAUCGGAAUUACUGGGCGUAAAGCGUGCGUAGGCGGUGGUUUAAGUCCGUUGUGAAAGCCCUGGGCUCAACCUGGGAAUUGCAGUGGAUACUGGGUCACUAGAGUGUGGUAGAGGAUAGUGGAAUUUCCGGUGUAGCAGUGAAAUGCGUAGAGAUCGGAAGGAACAUCUGUGGCGAAGGCGACUAUCUGGGCCAACACUGACGCUGAGGCACGAAAGCGUGGGGAGCAAACAGGAUUAGAUACCCCAGUAGUCCCUGUCUCUUAUAC
rnacentral:rRNA from 1 species